CUAAUGGAGACUCUUCAUCGAUCAUUCAGUUGUCUGCUGCUGGUGGGAUGUGCGGCGGGUUAGGCUUUGGUUUGGGCUCCGGCUUGGGUUCAGGCUUUGGUUUUGGUUCAGGCUUAGGCUCCGGUUUGGGUUCUGGUUUCGGCUUGGGCUCGGGCUUUGGUUCAGGUUUAGGCUUAGGCUCAGGCUUAGGUAGUGGUUCGGGUUUUGGUUCCGGCUUCGGCUCAGGCUUAGGCUCGGGUUUUGGUUUGGGCUCGGGCUUAGGCUCUGGUUUGGGUAGUGGUUCUGGUUUUGGUUCUGGCUUGGGCUCGGGCUUAGGCUCUGGUUUGGGCAGUGGCUCUGGCUUUGGCUCUGGUUUUGGCAAUGGUUUGGGCUUUGGUUCCGGCUUGGGCUCAGGCUUAGGCUCUGGUUUUGGUAGUGGUUCAGGUUUUGGUUCCGGCUUGGGUUCAGGCUUAGGCUCGGGCUUUGGUUCCGGCUUGGGCUCAUGCUUAGGUUGCAGUGGUUCGGGUAUGGGUUCUGUGCUUGGGUUCAGGCUUAGUGCUCGGUGCUUUGGGUAUCGUGCUUGGGCUCAGGCUUAGGCUCCGGUAUCGGCAUCGGUUCGGGCUUUGGUUCUGGCUAGGGCUCAGGCUUAGGCUCAGGUUUUGGUUUUGGCAUGGGCUCAGGUUUUGGUUCAGGCUUAGGCUCCGGCUUAGGCUCAGGCUUAGGUUUUGGUUCUGGCUUGGGCUCCGGUUUUGGCAGUGGUUCAGGCUUGGGCUCAGGCUCGGGUUUUGGUUCAGGCUUAGGCUCAGGUUUUGGCUUUGGCUCAGGCUUUUUUGGCUUUGGCUUUGGUUCAGGCAUAGGCUUGGGCAUCGGUUCGGGUUUGGGCUUUGGCUCUGGCUUCGUUAUGGGUUUAGGUUGAGGCUCAGGUUUAGGUUCAG
rnacentral:lncRNA from 1 species